CUGCCCGGUGACUAAUAGUUAAACGGCCGCGGUACCCUAACCGUGCGAAGGUAGCACAAUCACUUGUUCUUUAAAUCAGGACUAGUAUGAACGGCUUCACGAGGGCUAUACUGUCUCCCUCCUUUAAUCAGUGAAACUGAUCUCCUCGUGAAGAAGCGAGGAUACCCUAAUAAGACGAGAAGACCCCAUGGAACUUUAAACUUGUACCACUGCCCCCUCAAGAUACCACACCAACCAGGGCAAUCAUGACUACUAGUCUUUCGGCUGGGGCGACCACGGAACAAAAUAAAACCUCCACGAUGAAAGAGACACCCUCCCUAAUCCCAGAGCUACUGCUCCAAGAAUCAACAAAUUGACAUAAAUUGACCCAAACACCUUGAUCAACGAACCAAGCUACCCUGGGGAUAACAGCGCAAUCCAUUUCAAGAGACCCCAUCGACAAAUGGGCUUACGACCUCGAUGUUGGAUCAGGGUAUCCCGGUGGUGCAGCCGCUACCAAAGGUUCGUUUGUUCAACGAUUAAAACCCU
rnacentral:rRNA from 1 species